rnacentral:rRNA from 1 species
UACGGAGGAUGCAAGCGUUAUCCGGAAUGAUUGGGCGUAAAGCGUCCGCAGGUGGCAAUGUAAGUCUGCUGUUAAAGAGUCUAGCUCAACUAGAUAAAAGCAGUGGAAACUACAUAGCUAGAGUACGUUCGGGGCAGAGGGAAUUCCUGGUGUAGCGGUGGAAUGCGCAGAUAUCAGAGGAACACCUAUAGCGAAGGCAGCUUGCUGGGACGUUACUGACGCUAAGGCGCGAAAGCGUGGGGAGCGAACAGG